rnacentral:rRNA from 1 species
UACGUAGGGUGCAAGCGUUGUCCGGAAUUAUUGGGCGUAAAGAGCUCGUAGGCGGUCUGUCGCGUCGGCUGUGAAAACUCGGGGCUCAACCCCGAGCCUGCAGUCGAUACGGGCAGACUAGAGUUCGGUAGGGGAGACUGGAAUUCCUGGUGUAGCGGUGAAAUGCGCAGAUAUAGGAGGAACACCGAUGGCGAAGGCAGGUCUCUGGGCAUUAACUGACGCUGAGGAGCGAAAGCAUGGGGAGCGAACAGG